rnacentral:rRNA from 1 species
GACGAACGCUGGCGGCGUGCUUAACACAUGCAAGUCGUACGGUAAGGCCCUUUCGGGGGUACACGAGUGGCGAACGGGUGAGUAACACGUGAGUAACCUGCCCACAACUUUGGGAUAACGCUAGGAAACUGGUGCUAAUACUGGAUAUGUGCUCCUGCUGCAUGGUGGGGGUUGGAAAGCUCCGGCGGUUGUGGAUGGACUCGCGGCCUAUCAGCUUGUUGGUGGGGUAGUGGCCUACCAAGGCGGCGACGGGUAGCCGGCCUGAGAGGGUGACCGGCCACAUUGGGACUGAGAUACGGCCCAGACUCCUACGGGAGGCAGCAGUGGGGAAUAUUGCACAAUGGGCGCAAGCCUGAUGCAGCAACGCCGCGUGCGGGAUAACGGCCUUCGGGUUGUAAACCGCUUUCAGCAGGGACGAAGCUUUUUGUGACAGUACCUGCAGAAGAAGCACCGGCUAACUACGUG